AUUGAACGCUGGCAGCAUGCCUUACACAUGCAAGUCGAACGGUAACAGGUCUUCGGAUGCUGACGAGUGGCGAACGGGUGAGUAAUACAUCGGAACGUGCCCGAUCGUGGGGGAUAACGAGGCGAAAGCUUUGCUAAUACCGCAUACGAUCUACGGAUGAAAGCGGGGGAUCUUCGGACCUCGCGCGGACGGAGCGGCCGAUGGCAGAUUAGGUAGUUGGUGGGAUAAAAGCUUACCAAGCCGACGAUCUGUAGCUGGUCUGAGAGGAUGAUCAGCCACACUGGGACCGAGACACGGCCCAGACUCCUACGGGAGGCAGCAGUGGGGAAUUUUGGACAAAGGGCGAAAGCCUGAUCCAGCCAUGCCGCGUGCAGGAUGAAGGCCUUCGGGUUGUAAACUGCUUUUGUACGGAACGAAAAGCCUCUUUCUAAUAAAGAGGGGUCAUGACGGUACCGUAAGAAUAAGCACCGGCUAACUACGUG
rnacentral:rRNA from 1 species